UAGUUUUCUGGCUGCCUGGGUGACCCGACGAGUCAAAGGGGCAAGAUGGGACAAUAGGUCGAGGAGAGCAGGAAUCCUUUUGUCUGUGUCGCAAAGAAGAGUCGUCGUCGCCACUGUACAUGACUGGGGAGGAGGAUCGCUGAAGGAAUGGAUUGACUUCAAGCCCCGCAUUGUUGAAGACGUGAACUUGAGCACUGGUAAACGUCAUGCCAGAAGGCUGACUCCCAAUGGCCAUAAAGUUCUUAGGUAAGGAUUCUUGACAGUUGACAUUGACUUGCAGUAUAUGAAAUUAUUUUGGUGAAGUAGGAUUUGAUUGCUUUGAAUCCCUGUGGCACUGCAUUAGUAGAUGCCUUGCAAAUUCUUCUUCGUACACUUUCAACAUUUCUUAGAAGUUAGAUUUCACCAGAUUAACUGAUUAAUUUUGACAGUUGACAUUAACUGAUUAAUUUUGUCGGUGAGGUACCAAUACGUACCAAAUGUAUGUUUGAAAAAGGGUCAUCAGGGAUGUUUUUGCCUUCGUAUUGUCAUCAUUUUGAGAUGAUGUCAUCAUUACACCUUGUGUUUGAUGGAAAAAGUGGCAGUGCUCUAAUAAAGCUUACCAACAGAGUUCAAAAGAUGAUUCUAAGGCUCAAUCCUUGAUUUGGCAUGUGUUGGACGAUGUUGGGCUGAAUACUUUCGUUUUGAGUCUAGUCCUAGUUCAGUUUCAUUUGUGUUGCUGUUGAAUUAUAAUGAGUUUUUAGCAGUCAUGAAUUUUUAAACUGUCAGUGAUUGUUGGUUUGGUGUUGCUGGAAUUUUUCUUCCAUGCCCCAUAGUGGUAUUGGGGCAUUGAUGCCCCUAUAAGUAUGAACCAUUAGAUUGAAAAGGCAUAAAUCUCAGCCAUUAGAUCAAAAUCACUCACAAAAACAAGGUAGUUUUAUGAUUUUUCCGCAGGCUACACUUACUAGUACAAUGUAUGACCACACUUACCAUAAUGUAUGGCUAUACUUACCAUAAUGUAUGGCCACAAUCUAUAGUCUAUACUCACACUUACCACAAUGUAUGGCCAUUUUUGACUAUGAGUGAAAUUGAACCAAUAGUUGAGAUUAAAAAAAAGAAAUCCAAUGGUUGGGGGAUAAUGGGAGCAUGGAUGCCCAAAACCGGAUUGGGGCAUCAUAACAAGUGUUUUAGAAACCAAUUUGAAACAAAAAUGUAACACAUGUUUUGAGGUCCCAACAAGGUGGUUUUUGGUCCCUUUUUUCUUUUCAUUAAAAUUAAUGAGGUUAAGGCUUAACCACAUUACACAACAUGCAAACCCUCUCCCUCUCCCUCUCCCUUUAACUGCAAAUCUCUUCAUCUCAAAUUCAGCCAAUUAGGUCAACAAACAUACAAUCCCAAACCAGGUAUAUACAAUUGCAAUGGGGUGCUUCAGAUUUUGUGUUUUGAUUUGUUUAAUUGAGUUGCAAUGGGUCUUUAGUACUUCAAACAAGAGUGAGGGGGUUUCAAAUUCCGACUGAUUUAAAUCCCGGAUGAUGCCCAUCAAAAGAAUCGAAGUGCCAGUCAUGGGCACCCACGAAUCAAAUCGAGAACUUGUAUAAACAACUAAGACUCAAAAAUCAUGAAUUGUAAUUGCGCUCAGAGACUACCCAGUACACGCUUCCAAAAGCCUAAGGCUUUGUCUUCGACUGUUUUGCGUAUUAGGUGUCCAAAUCGGGUAUAUCAGAUAUCAAGGGAUUCGAGGGGGUUUCAAAACUGGGGAGGUGGACCAGACUUCCUAUGAUAAUUUUAUUUGGUUUUCUUUUUCAUUUUCUUCUUCAUUUUUUUUUUGCCAGGAAUUAUUUCAAGGCAAGUUACUUUAGAUGUCCUAUGGAUAUAUCUUGUAACCACUUACAAGUGGGUGGAAAGCCUAGCUCCACUCUCUCCUUGCUGGGUAGAGCUACUCUAGUCUAGUCUAGUCCAAGUUGUUACCUCCACCAUCCCCAAUUAUCUUAUGCAAAUUAAACCACCUUCCUUCCCACUAGCAUUAAUUUGUGAUAUAUAGAAUUGAUAGGUCGAUAUCUAUAGGAAUUUCCUUUUGCGGGACACACCCUCUGAGAGAAAAAGUCCAUUUGGUUAUAUAACUGGGAUAGUGUGUGUAAAAGUAAAAGAGAAGGGGCAUAAAGAAAGGCCAGAGAGAGAGAAUAACAUAGACUUCAUUUAAUAGCCAGUUGGGUUGGAGGCUUCACUGAGAAAAAGCCCCUUUGGGUUCAGCUCCCAAGGAAAAAAAAUACCCUAGUCGUUAUCACAAAUUUCAAAAACUGGGAGGGCAAGCAGAGAUCCACCCACACUUUGAGGAGGAGCAUUUUUAGCAGCAGGGAGGCUAGCUAGGUCAUCCUUAAGGGCGUGAUAUGAUAUGGUUCCUUAGUAAAGGCAAAGAUGUAUGGCAUGACAUAUUGGUGGUGUGGUUCAAAUGCCAUACUGCGCAGGAUUAACCUUCCCUGGCGGCCUUCGCCUCGAUGAGUCCAAAGUUGCUGAUUACCUUAAUGAGGACAAGGAGUGGGAU